rnacentral:rRNA from 1 species
GAGAAGACUUUAGAUAUGAUCCAGAGUACCACGGGACACGUGAAACCCUGUGGGAAGCAGGAGGGACCACCCUCCAAGGCUAAAUACUACCUAGUGACCGAUAGCGUAUAGUACCGUGAGGGAAAGGUGAAAAGAACCCCGGGAGGGGAGUGAAAUAGAACCUGAAACCCUGCACUUACAAGCUGUGGAAGCACAUUUCUUGUGUGACCGCGUACUUUUUGUAGAACGGGCCAACGAGUUACGUUAAGUAGCAAGGUUAAGCACUUAAGGUGUGGAGCCGUAGCGAAAGCGAGUUUUAACUGAGCGUUCAGUUACUUGACGUAGACCCGAAACCGGGCGACCUACCCAUGAGCAGGAUGAAGCGAAAGUAAAAUUUCGUGGAGGUCCGAACCCACGAGCGUUGAAAAGCUCGGGGAUGACUUGUGGGUAGCGGUGAAAUUCCAAUCGAGCCCGGAGAUAGCUGGUUCUCCCCGAAAUAGCUUUAGGGCUAGCCUCAAGGUAAGAGAUACGGAGGUAGAGCACUGAAUGUCCUAGGGGGUAUUGCACCUACCGAAGACUAUCAAACUCCGAAUGCCGUCAUCUUAUACUUGGGAGUCAGACUGUGGGUGAUAAGAUUCAUAGUCGAAAGGGCAACAGCCCAGAUCGUCAGCUAAGGUCCCUAAAUGUAAGUUAAGUGGUAAAGGAUGUGGGAUUGCACAGACAACCAGGAUGUUGGCUUAG